rnacentral:rRNA from 1 species
ACGGAAGGCAGCAGUAGGGAAUAUUGCACAAUGGGGGAAACCCUGAUGCAGCAACGCCACGUGUGGGAAGAAGCAUUUCGGUGUGUAAACCACUGUCGUGAAGGAAUAAUGCCUGGUUUCGGCCAGGUUGAAUGUACUUUGAAGGGAAGCACCGGCAAACUUCGUGCCAGCAGCCGCGGUAAUACGAGGGGUGCAAGCGUUGUUCGGAAUCACUGGGCGUAAAGGGAGCGCAGGCGGAAGUGCAAGCGGUCUGUACAAUACCGGGGCCCAACCCCGGACCUGCAGACCGGACUGCAUUCCUUGGAUAGUUCAGGGGCAAGCGGAAUUCCUGGUGUAGCGGUGGAAUGCGUAGAGAUCAGGAAGAACACCGAUGGCGAAGGCAGCUUGCUGGGGACUUAUCGACGCUCAUGCUCGAAAGUGCGGGUAGCAAACAGGAUUAGAUACCCUGGUA